rnacentral:lncRNA from 1 species
CCGUGAUUUGAGCGCGGCCCAAGGCCCUUGGCCGCAAGCCCUGUUUCAGGCCCGAUCCAGAGUGUUCUUCAGCCCAUUUCAAUAGCCCAGGAAUCUUUGUGCUGUAGAUCCAGGUCCACAACUCCAGCUAGCUCUGCCUGGUGCCAACUUCGUGUUCGAGACUCCACAACGGACGCUUCCAGUUGACUGCAUCCGCCACAGGUGAUAGGUUUCUACUUUUUCUGGCUUGUUCAUUUAAUUAUAUUCUGGUUCUUUUGCAUGAUAGCC